rnacentral:rRNA from 1 species
UGGGGAAUAUUGCGCAAUGGGCGAAAGCCUGACGCAGCGACGCCGCGUGAGGGAUGAAGGUUUUCGGAUCGUAAACCUCUGUCAGAAGGGAAGAAACCGCACUGUGCUAAUCAGCAGUGCCUUGACGGUACCUUCAAAGGAAGCACCGGCUAACUCCGUGCCAGCAGCCGCGGUAAUACGGAGGGUGCAAGCGUUAAUCGGAAUUACUGGGCGUAAAGCGCACGUAGGCUGCUUUGUAAGUCAGGGGUGAAAUCCCACGGCUCAACCGUGGAACUGCGUUUGAUACUGCUUAGCUUGAAUCCGGGAGAGGGUGGCGGAAUUCCAGGUGUAGGAGUGAAAUCCGUAGAUAUCUGGAGGAACAUCAGUGGCGAAGGCGGCCACCUGGACCGGUAUUGACGCUGAGGUGCGAAAGCGUGGGGAGCAAACAGG